rnacentral:rRNA from 1 species
UUGGCUAUCCGACUUAACUCCCAACCCCUGUGACAUACCUAUACGUUGCCUCGGCGGAUCAGCCCGCGCCCCGUAAAACGGGACGGCCCGCCCGAGGACCCUAAACUCUGUUUUUAGUGGAACUUCUGAGUAAAACAAACAAAUAAAUCAAAACUUUCAACAACGGAUCUCUUGGUUCUGGCAUCGAUGAAGAACGCAGCAAAAUGCGAUAAGUAAUGUGAAUUGCAGAAUUCAGUGAAUCAUCGAAUCUUUGAACGCACAUUGCGCCCGCCAGUAUUCUGGCGGGCAUGCCUGUUCGAGCGUCAUUUCAACCCUCAAGCUCAGCUUGGUGUUGGGACUCGCGGUAACCCGCGUUCCCCAAAUCGAUUGGCGGUCACGUCGAGCUUCCAUAGCGUAGUAAUCAUACACCUCGUUACUGGUAAUCGUCGCGGCCACGCCGUAAAACCCCAACUUCUGAAUGUUGACCUCGGAUCAGGUAGGAAUACCCGCUGAACUUAAGCAUAUCAAUAAGCGGAGGA